rnacentral:rRNA from 1 species
GACGAACGCUGGCGGCGUGCUUAACACAUGCAAGUCGAACGGAAAGGCCCUGCUUGCCGGGUACUCGAGUGGCGAACGGGUGAGUAACACGUGGGUGAUCUGCCCUGCACUUCGGGAUAAGCCUGGGAAACUGGGUCUAAUACCGGAUAGGAGCCAUUUUUAGUGUGAUGGUUGGAAAGUUUUUUCGGUGUAGGAUGAGCUCGCGGCCUAUCAGCUUGUUGGUGGGGUAAUGGCCUACCAAGGCGGCGACGGGUAGCCGGCCUGAGAGGGUGGACGGCCACAUUGGGACUGGGAUACGGCCCAGACUCCUACGGGAGGCAGCAGUGGGGAAUAUUGCACAAUGGGCGCAAGCCUGAUGCAGCGACGCCGCGGGGGGGAUGACGGCCUUCGGGUUGUAAACUCCUUUCGCUAGGGACGAAGCUUUUUGUGACGGUACCUAGAUAAGAAGCACCGGCUAACUACGUG